GACGAACGCUGGCGGCGUGCUUAACACAUGCAAGUCGAACGGAAAGGCCCCGCUUUUGUGGGGUGCUCGAGUGGCGAACGGGUGAGUAACACGUGAGUAACCUGCCCUUGACUUUGGGAUAACUUCAGGAAACUGGGGCUAAUACCGGAUAGGAGCUCCUGCUGCAUGGUGGGGGUUGGAAAGUUUCGGCGGUUGGGGAUGGACUCGCGGCUUAUCAGCUUGUUGGUGGGGUAGUGGCUUACCAAGGCUUUGACGGGUAGCCGGCCUGAGAGGGUGGCCGGCCACAUUGGGACUGAGAUACGGCCCAGACUCCUACGGGAGGCAGCAGUGGGGAAUAUUGCACAAUGGGCGGAAGCCUGAUGCAGCAACGCCGCGUGCGGGAUGACGGCCUUCGGGUUGUAAACCGCUUUCGCCUGUGACGAAGCGUGAGUGACGGUAAUGGGUAAAGAAGCACCGGCUAACUACGUG
rnacentral:rRNA from 1 species